CAGCAGCCGCGGUAAUACGGGGGGAGCAAGCGUUGUUCGGAUUUACUGGGCGUAAAGGGCGCGUAGGCGGCCACCGCAAGUCGACUGUGAAAUCUCCGGGCUUAACCCGGAAAGGUCAGCCGAUACUGCGGGGCUAGAGUGCAGAAGGGGCAACUGGAAUUCUCGGUGUAGCGGUGAAAUGCGUAGAUAUCGAGAGGAACACCUGCGGCGAAGGCGGGUUGCUGGGCUGACACUGACGCUGAGGCGCGAAAGCUAGGGGAGCGAACGGGAUUAGAUACCCCGGUAGUCCUAGCCUUAAACGAUGAAUGCUUGGUGUCCGGGGUUACAUAGUCCCCGGGUGCCGGCGCUAACGCAUUAAGUAUCCCGCCUGGGGAGUACGGUCGCAGGACUGAAACUCAAAGGAAUUGACGG
rnacentral:rRNA from 1 species